AUGAGAGGGUAAUCUUAUGGGAUGGGUAUGCUUAAUCGUAAAGCACUGAGGUGCAAAUCAAGAGUUCACAGGUUGCAUUUUUUCUUGUAUGUCACUUUGGAUAAAAGGAUAUGCUAAAUUAAUUCAUUAUUUUCAUUCGACUCGGCAAGGUGUGUUGUUAUGACUUAACAAUCAGUUAACAAUCAGAAACAAAAGCAAACACACUGAGCCAGAGCAGAAAUGAAACUUUGUUGCAAACGAAACCUACAGUGAAGACAGUCUCGUGCUUUAAGGAAAUGAAAGAGGCAACUGUCACUCCUUUCAACAGUGCAUAUUUAUAGGGGCUUUCCAACACAAGCUGACUGGUAUGGGGGAGGAGUCCUUCACCUGACUUUUCCAGUUGAGUUUCUGGCAGUAGCCUUUAAAGCCAUCCUCUACGUGUCUUCUGCAGAAUUAUCAGAACACAAUGACGGCCACAAUGGAUGAGGAGGGAGAAGACAGUGAUGACGAUGACAAGGGGAAACAACAGCAUGAUUUUUGAUGAUUUUUGUUUAAGUCUACUGCCAAGGGUAGCACACACAAUUCACUAGAAGUGGUGAGAUGUGUGGACAGAAGUCAACUUUUACUAAUGACUGUUGUUGUAGAAUGUUUUGUUUUCCAUGUCAUAAGUGUAUGGACUCCCAAAAAGGUAUGUUUGUAUUUUGCUAACAUGAAGAACAGAACUGUAUUGAAGUUGUGGGUGGAACACCACAAGCAUCAAGCUGUUUGCUUGUGCUGUUUCACCCUGGUUAAACUGUUGGUAUAUUUGCUCACUGUUAACCACACCGGUGUUAGUAGUAUAACUACCAUGGUGAUCAUUACAGGGUGAAAAGGCUGGGCAAAAUAGGGACUACAUAAAUGCUGAUAUCACAGCAUAUGAAUCAGUAAAUCAAUGUCAUUGAGGGUAUUCUUUACUGUAUAAUAUAUUGUAGCAUCCCUUAUUACCUAUUUCAAAGCCUCUUCCUGUCACUUCAGAUUGAAAAUUAACUGAGUUACUAACUAACUACGUUUCUCGUCAUAAUGUAAAGAUACCUUGGUCCAGGCAAUUUUGGAGUUCACACAUGCAUUUUGUAUGAUGUAUUUUCUACAUGGUCUAUGAAUAGAAAAGCAGUAUUCCCUCAAGUAGAGCACCUAACUUGAAUUUCCUCUGUUACUGACUUUCGCCAAACAGUUUUCAACAGUUUUGCAAAGGAACAACUUUUGAGGGAAUGCACACAGUAACAAACCAAAGUAAAAUGUUUUGUAUUGUCAAUACUGUAAUAAGCUAUUCAUAUUAUUAUACUGCAAUAGUUUUCCACGUAGGCUAUAUUCACAACGUUGAUGUUACAGCGAAGAUGCAUUAUAUACAUCUAUAUAUACUAUAUAAUAUAUGCGCAAGUCUUCGAAUUUCUGCCGCUUGGUUAUAUGGGAAGGGACAUCAUUUCUAAAAGGUUGAGGUUGAUACUGUCGUGAUUCUGAUAAGUGAUUGACAUGUCAAAGCAAAUCCUCUUUAAAAUGAGCCCAUAUGUUGAAAUCGUCCCUGCUAAAUGUAGUGAAUAAAAGGAUUUAACGUAU